CCUACGGGAGGCAGCAGUGGGGAAUAUUGGACAAUGGGCGAAAGCCUGAUCCAGCCAUGCCGCGUGUGUGAAGAAGGCCUUCGGGUUGUAAAGCACUUUCAGUGGGGAAGAAAGCCUUGGGGCUAAUACCCUCGAGGAAGGACAUCACCCACAGAAGAAGCACCGGCUAACUCCGUGCCAGCAGCCGCGGUAAUACGGAGGGUGCGAGCGUUAAUCGGAAUUACUGGGCGUAAAGCGCGCGUAGGCGGUCUGAUAAGCCGGUUGUGAAAGCCCCGGGCUCAACCUGGGAACGGCAUCCGGAAAUUUCAGGCUUGAGUGCAGGAGAGGAAGGUAGAAUUCCCGGUGUAGCGGUGAAAUGCGUAGAGAUCGGGAGGAAUACCAGUGGCGAAGGCGGCCUUCUGGACUGACACUGACGCUGAGGUGCGAAAGCGUGGGUAGCAAACAGGAUUAGAUACCCCUGUAGUC
rnacentral:rRNA from 1 species